rnacentral:lncRNA from 1 species
UGACAACAAAAAAGGGGGGAAAAAGACUUUUAACAGAAAGAGCUACUGCAACUUAAAUUGUUCUCACAUUUUAAAUGUGUUAACAAUAUCUAUUUUUAUUUGUAAGCCAACUUUGUGUUGCAACUCUGCUGAGUUUCAUCUUUUAAGCCUCUUUUGCCUCUCUGAGCCAGUUUUAUCUUCGUAUUUGAGGCUUUACAUUCAGGUGACUUCUUUCAUUGCAUUUCAAGGGUUCUCUAACCCAAAAAAAAGAUGGAAGCAGCACACGACAAUCCUUUGGGGCCAAUUCAUUGGAACAUGUCACUCUGAGAGGGAACAUUUGUAAUCUCCUACUGCCAUCUUAUGUAAUGUCUUGUCACUACACAAUACAGAAUAUGCAUGAAGGAAAACCAAAAGCACUUUCUGGAGGUUGUAUUUCAAACCCAUCACAUAAAAAAUUAAAUAUCUAUUGUUCCAUUCCCCACUCUAAUUAUACUAUUUAUUUAUAAGAAAUUAUUUCUAAUUUCUUCCUAUUAAUUUUGUAAACUUUCUAUUCUAGUCAUGUUUAUCUUUUAUAUACAGUUUAUUGUAAUUUAAAAUGCUAUAUAGCACCGUAUUAUUUAGAUGCAUGAGUAAUUCAAAAGCUAGAG